rnacentral:rRNA from 1 species
UAAGGAAUAUUGGACAAUGGAGGCAACUCUGAUCCAGCCAUGCCGCGUGAAGGAAUAAGGCCCUAUGGGUUGUAAACUUCUUUUAGACGGGACAAAACCCCUUUACGUGUAAAGGGUUGAUGGUACUGUCAGAAUAAGCAUCGGCUAACUUCGUGCCAGCAGCCGCGGUAAUACGAAGGAUGCAAGCGUUAUCCGGAAUUAUUGGGUUUAAAGGGUGCGUAGGCGGACUAAUAAGUCAGAGGUGAAAGCCUGCAGCUUAACUGCAGAAUUGCCAUUGNUACUGUUAGUCUUGAGUACGGGAGAGGGAAGUGGAAUUUCCGGUGUAGCGGUGAAAGGCGUAGAUAUCGGAAGGAACACCAGUGGCGAAGGCGACUUCCUGGCCCGUUACUGACACUGAGGCGCGAAAGCGUGGGG